ensembl:lncRNA
AAAAUAUUUACAUUUUGCCUUUAACAGAAAAAGGUUUGCUGAUCCCUGCAUUAUAAUAUUUCUGUGGUAUUUCCUUGUCUGUCUGCCCCUUUAGAUUUAGAGCUCCUAGAUGCUAGGAGUUUUGUCUUGCUGUUUUUUACAUCUUUGUCUUUGUGUUGCCAGCACCAAGCACCAGGUUUUAGCAUUGAGAGGGCACCUGGUGAACACUUAAUGAAAGAAUGAGCGAAGCUCUCACAAUAAUCGUAAUGACUGAUAUUUAUACAGGCUUUGUGGUGUCACAUAUACCAUUUCAUUUAAUCUUCAUCCCAACUCCCUGAAAUGGACAAUGUCCCUGUUUUACAUAACAGGAAGCAAAGGCUCAGAGAAGCCAAGUAACUUUUCCAAAGUAACACAACCAAGUUAGGAUUAGAGGGUGGUCUUCUGCUAGCAUUUCCCAUGUUUGUCCCAUUGCCCUUGGUUGUCUCAUACCAUUGCUCUCACUACCAGAUCCCCAGUAGCAGUUGCACUGUGACUCUUGUCAGUUGCAUGGUUCCUCUUGUCACCUCUGACACCUCUUCCUGUGGUGCCCCUCCUCCUUGUCCCGGCUGCUUUCUUCUCUCUCCCUCUCUCUUCUAGCUUGCUCUUGCCCUCUGUGCAAUUUGUGGCUCAAUCACUGAGGGUCCGUAUAUCCCAGGAAGCGCAUGCACAAUGCAGUAUGUGGUCAUCUGUAUUUUGACUAAUUCUUCCACAAUUAGAAGAGGUUGAAGGUCCAGGAGAAGAGAGCUGUCCUCUAGGCCAUGCCCCACAGCAUGGACAGUGUCUUAUUCCAUUCAGGCUGCUAUCACAGAACACCAUAGGCUGGAUGGCUUAUAAACAACAGAAAUUUUAUUUCUUACAGUUCUGGAAGCUGGACGUCCAAGAUCAAGAUAUCAGCAGGUUCGAUGUCAGAUGGACUCUUUACAUUUCUGCCUGCAUCCGCCCGUCAGCUUCCUCAUUGGGAUACCCUUGAGCUCAGUCAAUUGUGUCCCUCUUCCUGUUGCCAAGCAUAGAUGUUCAGUAGCCUUGGUGCUCAUAGGUGCCCACUACAUCUUUGUGGUUCUCCAACUUCCUGGCCCCUGUGACCGGGUGGGGCAUGUGGCCAGUUCUGGCCAAUGGGCUGGUGGUGGGAGUGAUGUGUGUCACUUCGAUCUCAGAGCAUUUAAUUGUUGGCGCUAGAGCCUCUAGAGCUUUCUCUUCUUUCUGGAGCAAUGACUGCCACUGUUGUAGAAGAUGUUGGCUUCUUGCUCAGCUUGGGUCCCUGAGUGAUUUUUUUUGAGCAGAGAGCUUUUCUGACAUCCUGUGAUCAACUUGUACUGUGAACCGGAAAGAAACAUUUAUUGUUUUAAAACACUGAGAUCCUGGGUUUUUUGUUACCGCAGUAUAAUCUAGACUAUCCUGACACUUAUAAGACUUGUUUACUGAAUGGAUAAAUCCAUUCCUAGUUUCUAUUCUCACCACUGUAGUCCUAAUAAAUCAUACUACAUUGUAAAUCCUCACUGAAUCUUUUCAGUUCUUAUUCAUUUGUAUAGUUAUAUUGCCUUUGGCCUGCCAACUUCUAAGGCCCUAUUUUGUCCACUCCCCACUUUUUUUCUCUAGCAAAUUCAUCUGCUUAUGUAAUUUCAACUACUACCUAUAUUUAUAGCAAAAUAACAUGAUAUAUGUGAAAGAAUACUGGAUUUGAAGAUAGAUAGGCCUGAGUUCCAGUCCUGACUCUACCGUUUCACAGACCUGGGUAAACUGCUUAAAACAGUCUCAGUUCUCUCAUCUGUGCAGUUGGAGUGAUGAUGGCUGUCAUGCCUGUUUCACCAGGUCACCUGUGAGAAUCAGGUGAGAGAGCAAUUUUUGUAAACUGUGAAGAAUUAUUCAUAUGGGAGCAAGUUUUUAGAGAAACUCUGAACCUCCAUCCCAGCAAAGCUUCUGCCCUGAACUUCCUCAUGUUCAGGAUCCACCUUGCGUGGCUGUGUCCUCAUUAAGAUGACCUGCCUCUACCUCCGAGCUUGUUCACUUUGUUGUGGGUGCAUUUGCAUCCCCAGCCCUUUGUCCCCAGGGCUCACCCCACCCUCUCUCCCCACAGCUGGCCACAUCUUUAUUUGUCUAUCACUUUUUCCUGAUGAUUCACCUUCCACGGGCUUCCUGGAUCUCACCUGUUUUAACCUGGUAUCCAUCUCUAGGCUGUGCCCUAAAGAGCUUAUGCUACAGUUGCGACAGCCCAAUUCAGAUGUGCGUCUCCGUCUUUUCAAGUUCUUACUCCUUUGAUCUAACUCACUCUCAGCCGUGAAAACAAAUAUCCCUAAAUGUCACUUAGCUUGCGUCACUCCAUUUCUCAGAAUUAAACACUGGCUCCUCGUUGCCUCUUUAAAAUAAGAUGCAAACGUGUGCACACACAAUUUUUUUGGUUAUUACAAAAGCAACUCAUUGUCGAUGUGCCAAAAUAGCAAAAUACAGAAAAGCAAAUGGAAAAAUAAACAGAUCACCUAUUAUCCAAUCACUUGAAGAUAAUCCUAUAAGCAUUUUCAUUUUUUUCUAUGCUUCUGUAUUUUAUAAAAAUGCUGUCAAACAGUACAUACUAUUUCAUACCUAGCUUUCUCCCCUUUGUAACAUAUUCCGAUCGGUUUUCAGGUCAUU